UACGGAGGGGACUAGCGUUGUUCGGAAUUACUGGGCGUAAAGCGCACGUAGGCGGAUUGUUAAGUCAGGGGUGAAAUCCCGAGGCUCAACCUCGGAACUGCCUUUGAUACUGGCAAUCUCGAGUCCGGAAGAGGUGAGUGGAAUUCCUAGUGUAGAGGUGAAAUUCGUAGAUAUUCGGAGGAACACCAGUGGCGAAGGCGGCUCACUGGUCCAUUACUGACGCUGAGGUGCGAAAGCGUGGGGAGCAAACAGG
rnacentral:rRNA from 1 species